AUUUUUACUAGGACAGUAAUAAUAAUACAAGCAAAAAAGAAGCCACAUAGUAUUAGCAUGAUUCACCCCAAAAUACAACGACAAUAUCUUUAGGUAAAGCUGCGGCAGAGCAGCUACACAAUCAACAACAACGCCACACGUCGAUCAACACCAACGCACGAACAACCAAAGGCAAAAGGCGAUAGGAACUGAAGAAGAACAUGCACGAACGAAUUAAGCGUCUUAUUUUUGGAUGUACUCUGGAAGCCUCCUCCUCCUCCUCUCCUCCACGGUGGCGCGGACGAUGCUUCAGACGUUGAUGGGCAGGGGCUCGCCGUUCCACUCCUUGAGGCACUCCAGCAUGGGGUCGAUGAGCUUGUUCUGGCUGAUGCCCAGGAAGACCUUGGUGCACUCCUCGCCGGGGGACAGCAGCUUCUCGCCGGUGAGGUACACGCAGCCGAGCUCCUCGCGGACGAAGCGGUACAGCGGGAACGACCUGCUCUCCUUGAUCAGGUUGGGGAUGGGCGCGGUGCCGUUCUCGAAGGCCACGCGGGCGGCCUCGAUCUCCCGCGGCAGGGCCGACCGCAGCUCCUCCUCGAACUUGUUGAUCUUGGAGAACACCGUGGCCUCGCUCUCGGCUUCGCCGGGGCCGGCGGUGAGCGCGUGGUCCACGAGCACGGCGCGCAGCUUCUGCAUCAGUGGGUAGUUGGCGCUGCAGGCGUCGUCGGCGUAGCUGAACACGGCCUCGCGGUCGAUGGCGGUGAUGAGGCUCUUCUCGCUGAAGCGCGCGCUGGAGAGGUCGCCGGUGGGGUUCAUGGUCAGCACCUUCUUCGACACCUGCGUCACGCAGUUCUUCACGGAGGUCUUGAUGUUCUCCUCCAGGUGGCGGAGGUCGAUGGCCUGGCACAGCGCCACCAUGUAUGUGGAGGACAUGAGCUUGAGGAUGUCCACAGCCUCGGCGGUCUUCCUGGCCGACACAAGGCCCAGAGAGUUCACGUCCUGGUUGUGCUGCUCGGCACUCUGGACAU
rnacentral:lncRNA from 1 species